UUUAGCCUAGCCUAUAGCAUCCUGCUAGCAAGGCCCUGCACUUGUUACACUGUGGUGGCAGUGCAUCAGCUACCAUUAGCCUGCUCUGCCCAACGUAAUGCAGUGGAAUACAGACAAGUGUAGCGUACUGAAGCCCAGUCUAGUGGAGUGCUGUGUGCAAGAUCAUAGCAAGACUCCUUGCUAGCAUAUGCUUGUGUUUAAUGCAGCGACCUGCUUCUGCAUGGGUCUGAGUUAACUUUGGGACUCUCCAGUUUCUUCAUUCCUCGCCGCUGAGCCAGGCUGGAGGACUGAACAGGCUCCAGGACCGGAGCAGGAGCGCAGCGCUUCAGAGCAGAUUACCAGUGGGCGUUCUGGAGGUGAACUCAGGGUCAAAAUGGAAAGUGUCUUCAGGUCUUCCGACUGACGGUUUGAAAGGAGGCCUCAAUUCCUUCCUGUACAACUUCUACAGAAAACAACAACAAUGAUCAA